rnacentral:rRNA from 1 species
GAGGAAGUAAAAGUCGUAACAAGGUUUCCGUAGGUGAACCUGCGGAAGGAUCAUUACAGAAUAAACUUGAUGGGUUGUAGCUGGCUCUCUCGAGAGCAUGUGCACGCCUGUUACCUUUAUCUUUCCACCUGUGCACCCAUUGUAGACUUGGAAUUCAAAACCGUCUGAAGGCCCCCUUCAGUUUGAGGGACUGCUGCGCGCUUAAUAGGGUCAGCUUCCCUUGUGGUUCCAAGCCUAUGUUUUUCAUAUACCCCAUAGUAUGUCUCAGAAUGUAAUAAAAGGCCUCUGCGCCUAUAAACCUUAUACAACUUUCAGCAACGGAUCUCUUGGCUCUCGCAUCGAUGAAGAACGCAGCGAAAUGCGAUAAGUAAUGUGAAUUGCAGAAUUCAGUGAAUCAUCGAAUCUUUGAACGCACCUUGCGCUCCUUGGUAUUCCGAGGAGCAUGCCUGUUUGAGUGUCAUUAAAUUCUCAACCUUAUCAUCUUUGAUGGCAAGGCUUGGACUUGGGGGUUUGCGGGCUUCAAUAUUUUGAAGUCGGCUCCCCUUAAAUGCAUUAGCCGGAAAACUCUUGUGGACCGUCUAUUGGUGUGAUAAUUAUCUACGCCGUGGACUGGACUGCACUUUGUAAUGGGAUUUCUGCUUCAAACCGUCCCUAGGGGACAAUUAUUUGACCAUUUGACCUCAAAUCAGGUAGGACUACCCGCUGAACUUAAGCAUAUCA